CCUACGGGAGGCAGCAGUGAGGAAUAUUGGUCAAUGGGCGGGAGCCUGAACCAGCCAAGUCGCGUGAGGGAAGACGGUCCUAUGGAUUGUAAACCUCUUUUGGCGGGGAGCAAUGCCGGGCACGCGUGCCCGGAGGGAGAGUACCCGCAGAAUAGGCAUCGGCUAACUCCGUCCCAGCGGCCCCGGUAAUACGGAGGAUGCGAGGGUUAUCCGGAUUUAUGGGGUUUAAGGGGUGCGUAGGCGGAUUUUUAAGUCAGCGGUAAAAUGUCCGGGCUCAACCCGGGCCGGCCGUUGAUACUGGGGAUCUUGAGUGGGCGAGAAGUAUGCGGAAUGCGUGGUGUAGCGGUGAAAUGCAUAGAUAGCACGCAGAACUCCGAUUGCGAAGGCAGCAUACCGGCGCCCGACUGACGCUGAGGCACGAAAGCGUGGGGAUCGAACAGGAUUAGAUACCCGAGUAGUC
rnacentral:rRNA from 1 species